GGGGAUGAUGACCAUUUCCCUCACUCUGAAGAGUGAUGAGGAGCCGAUGCUCUGACCC
rfam:Thermococcus onnurineus NA1, complete genome.